rnacentral:rRNA from 1 species
AUUGAACGCUGGCGGCAUGCCUUACACAUGCAAGUCGAACGGCAGCACGGGUGCUUGCACCUGGUGGCGAGUGGCGAACGGGUGAGUAAUACAUCGGAACGUACCUUAUCGUGGGGGAUAACGCAGCGAAAGCUGUGCUAAUACCGCAUACGCCCUGAGGGGGAAAGCGGGGGAUCGAAAGACCUCGCGCGAUUAGAGCGGCCGAUGCCUGAUUAGCUUGUUGGUGGGGUAAAAGCCCACCAAGGCGACGAUCAGUAGCUGGCCUGAGAGGACGAUCAGCCACACUGGGACGAAGACACGGCCCAGACUCCUACGGGAGGCAGCAGUGGGGAAUUUUGGACAAUGGGGGCAACCCUGAUCCAGCAAUGCCGCGUGAGUGAAGAAGGCCUUCGGGUUGUAAAGCUCUUUUGUCAGGGAAGAAACACCGGCUCUAACACAGUCUGCGAAUGACGGUACCUGAAGAAUAAGCACCGGCUAACUACGUGCCAGCCGCCGCGGUAA